rnacentral:rRNA from 1 species
UACGUAGGGGGCAAGCGUUGUCCGGAAUCAUUGGGCGUAAGCGCGUGUAGGCGGCCCGAUAAGUCCGCUGUGAAAGUCCAGGGCUCAACCCUGGGAUGCCGGUGGAUACUGUCGGGCUCGAGUCCGGAAGAGGAGUGUGGAAUUCCUGGUGUAGCGGUGAAAUGCGCAGAUAUCAGGAGGAACACCAAUGGCGAAGGCAGCACUCUGGGACGUGACUGACGCUGAGACGCGAAAGCGUGGGGAGCAAACAGG